rnacentral:rRNA from 1 species
UACGUAGGGUGCAAGCGUUGUCCGGAAUUAUUGGGCGUAAAGAGCUCGUAGGCGGUCUUGUCAGUCCCUUGUGAAAUCCCCCAGCUCAACUGGGGAACUGCACGGGAAACAGCAGGGCUUGAGUUCGGGAGAGGGAAGCGGAAUUCCGGGUGUAGCGGUGAAAUGCGUAGAUAUCCGGAGGAACACCGGUGGCGAAGGCGGCUUCCUGGACCGAUACUGACGCUGAGGCGCGAAAGCUAGGGGAGCAAACGGG